UAUUAGUUAUAAUUGAGUUGGUUAGUUUUAGGUUAGAUAGCAGUAUGAAUGCUGAUUAAAAGGCUACUUAGAUUUAUAAAAAAAUAAAUAAAUAAAGAGAAUCAAUUAAAGGUUGGAUGCAAGUAUGAAAAUGGAUUCUCAGGAUCUCAACUAUUUUCUUAUUAGAUAGUUGGUACUCUUCUUAACAUGCUUUGGAUUGGUAUCUAAUCAAUAAAGAUAUAACC
rnacentral:lncRNA from 1 species